rnacentral:rRNA from 1 species
AUUGAACGCUAGCGGGAUGCCUUACACAUGCAAGUCGAACGGAGUGGCGAACGGGUGAGUAAUGUAUCGGAACGUGCCCAGUAGCGGGGGAUAACUACGCGAAAGCGUAGCUAAUACCGCAUACUAUUGGAGCGGCCGAUAUCGGAUUAGCUAUAUGGUGGGGGAACGGUUCACCAAGGAGACGAUCAGUAUCGGGUUUGAGCGGACGACCAGCCAAACUGGAACUGAGACACGGCCCAGACUCCUACGGGAGGCAGCAGUGGGGAAUUUUGGAAAAGGGGGGAAACCCUGAUCCAGCCAUCCCGCGUGUGAGAGGAAGGCCUUCGGGUUGUAAAGCACUUUUUGCAUGAAAGCGGUACCUGCAGAAUAAGCACCGGCUAACUACGUGCCAGCAGCCGCGGUAAUUC